GUCAACUCAACAUGCAUGGCCUUAUGGCCAUCUGCAAGUGCAGAUCCAUAAGGCCAUGCAUGUUGGGUUGACGCUCCUUCGAGGGGCCCCACUUACGUGAGCUAGGCGACGCUCGUGCCCGGCUGAAACCUGUGCCGACCCAGAGUAAUGUAUUUCCUCCUCUCACACAGUUCGCUGUCAACAAUCCCAGGGACACCCCUACAAGGUCGCGAACAACCUGAAUCAUUGCUGAACCUGACAUCUGUGGGAUAUCUACGGGAUAUCCCAGAACGACAUUUGCGUUUCGAUUUUCUCUGACGGGAAUGAGCGCUGUCCUACCUGCGCUCCUGAUCGGCGCGGUUUCAGCAGCCGCCGGCUCUAAAGCGAAACGCACCGCCUCCAAAAUAAUGUCGCCACCGGCGCCCGUACGCUAACGAUCUCUGAUUGGCUGCGCAAUAUAUGUAUAAAUAUUUGGAUGCUCAUUGGUCUAAAAAACUGGCGUCAGUUUCCUUUGCGCUGAUUGGGCGAGAGUCAUUUGACUGAGGAGCGAGCAUCCGAACGCGCGAACCGCUCAACGGAAGACCGAAGCAGGCGAACGGAGGAGAAUCACGAAUCACGUCUGUUCGGCCACGCGUGUUCUCUCGGACUGCAACCGUUGUGCACGCAGACGCUAGGGGGUAGUUUGAGGGUUUUGAAUGCUUUAGAUUUGCUUGGAUUAGGUUUGGCGAACUGCUAAUGUGAGAACGGAAUGGCACAUCCACCUCAUCAUCACAACAGCGGGAAGACGAACAUGUGAUGGAAUCCCUGCACCUCCAAAGGACGCAGAAAUCGUCAGAGAGGAAGUCUGCACUCUUUCCGACGUACUGCAGGUGAACGUUCUACCGCAGCCAUCGGCAACAACGACGCACAUAGCUCAGCAUUGGCUUUUGAACUGCCCUUCGAUGUCGAAGCACCUAAAGCUCCACAAGAACAGUGAAGCCUGUUACAAGACGUAAAAAGAUAUGUACUCUAGCUUUUUCGAGGCAGUUCCCGAGGACAAAUAAAGUUGAUUUGUCAUA